rnacentral:rRNA from 1 species
UAUGUGAUCGUCUCUCGCAUAUCAAUAAGCGGAGGAAAAGAAACUAACAAGGAUUCCCCUAGUAACGGCGAGUGAAGCGGGAAGAGCUCAAAUUUGAAAUCUUAAAGGGUUUCCCUUUACGAAUUGUAGUUUAAAGAAGUGUUUUCUGUUGAGGUUUUGGUAAAAGUUCUUUGGAAUAGGACAUCAUAGAGGGUGAGAAUCCCGUAUUUGACCUUUACUUUCAACUUUGUGAUACACUUUCAAAGAGUCGGGAUUGUUUGGGAAUGCAGUCCAAAAUGGGUGGUAAAUUUCAUCUAAAGCUAAAUAUUGGCGAGAGACCGAUAGCGAACAAGUACCGUGAGGGAAAGAUGAAAAGAACUUUGAAAAGAGAGUUAAACAGUACGUGAAAUUGUCAAAAGGGAAGCGUUUGACACCAGUGUUGUUUUUCUGAAAAUCAAUUAAAGAACUGUUUAUGCUAAGUUGUUUAGACUUUAUCAGCUAACUGUUUAGUUUUGAGCUUUUCUUUAAUGCACUUUUCAGUUAACAAGUCAACAUCAAUUUCUUUUGCUGUAAAAAAGCUUGAGGAAGGUGGCUUGAGAUUCGUCUUAAGUGUUUAUAGCCUCUUGCCUAUGCAGUCGGAGAGAUUGAGGUCUGCAGCGUAGAUCCUUCGGGGCUAAAUGCAUUUGUGCUAAGUUAUAGCAUUUUAUAGACAACUUGUUGACUAUGAUUUGUCUUGUAGCUUACUCGCUUAUGUUAUUUUACCUACGCUUAGGAUGUUGAUCUACAGAGCGAGAGU